rnacentral:rRNA from 1 species
UACGUAGGGGGCUAGCGUUGUCCGGAUUUAUUGGGCGUAAAGAGCGUGUAGGCGGCCAGGUAGGUCCGUUGUGAAAACUCGAGGCUCAACCUCGAGACGCCGAUGGAAACCAUCUGGCUAGAGUCCGGAAGAGGAGAGUGGAAUUCCCGGUGUAGCGGUGAAAUGCGCAGAUAUCGGGAAGAACACCCGUGGCGAAGGCGGCUCUCUGGGACGGUACUGACGCUGAGACGCGAAAGCGUGGGGAGCGAACAGG